rnacentral:rRNA from 1 species
UAAGACAGAGGGUGCAAACGUUGCUCGGAAUCACUGGGCGUAAAGGGCGUGUAGGCGGGAAGGAAAGUCAGAUGUGAAAUCCCUGGGCUCAACCCAGGAACUGCAUUUGAAACUCCCUUUCUUGAGUGUCGGAGAGGAAAGUGGAAUUCCUGGUGUAGAGGUGAAAUUCGUAGAUAUCAGGAGGAACACCGGUGGCGAAGGCGGCUUUCUGGACGACAACUGACGCUGAGACGCGAAAGCGUGGGGAGCAAACAGGAUUAGAUACCCUGGUAGUCCACGCUGUAAACGAUGAACACUAGGUGUCGUGGGUAUUGACCCCCGCGGUGCCGCAGCUAACGCAUUAAGUGUUCCGCCUGGGAAGUACGGUCGCAAGACUA